CAGCAGCCACGGGAAUACAGAGGGUGCAAGCGUUAAUCGGAAUUACUGGGCGUAAAGUGCGCGUAGGUGGUUUGUUAAGUUGGAUGUGAAAUCCCCGGGCUCAACCUGGGAACUGCAUCCAAAACUGGCAAGCUAGAGUAUGGUAGAGGGUGGUGGAAUUUCCUGUGUAGCGGUGAAAUGCGUAGAUAUAGGAAGGAACACCAGUGGCGAAGGCGACCACCUGGACUGAUACUGACACUGAGGUGCGAAAGCGUGGGGAGCAAACAGGAUUAGAGACCCCCGUAGUCCCUGUCUCUUAUAC
rnacentral:rRNA from 1 species